UACGUAGGGUCCGAGCGUUGUCCGGAAUUACUGGGCGUAAAGAGCUCGUAGGUGGUUUGUCGCGUUGUUCGUGAAAACUCACAGCUCAACUGUGGGCGUGCGGGCGAUACGGGCAGACUGGAGUACUGCAGGGGAGACUGGAAUUCCUGGUGUAGCGGUGGAAUGCGCAGAUAUCAGGAGGAACACCGGUGGCGAAGGCGGGUCUCUGGGCCGAUACUGACGCUGAGGAGCGAAAGCCAGGGGAGCGAACGGG
rnacentral:rRNA from 1 species